rnacentral:rRNA from 1 species
GAUUUCUGGCUCGUCGUUCUAGCCCGCUUCCUUCGGGGAGUGAGUGCUGGUACGAUCUGCCAUCCUUCCAGAGAGCCGUGAGUACCAUUUACUUGGCCGCUCGCGUGCGAUCUGGAUCAUUUACUUUGAAAAAAUUAGAGUGUUUAAAGCAGGCUUACGCCUUGAAUACAUUAGCAUGGAAUAAUAACAUAGGACUUCGGUUCUAUUUUGUUGGUUUCUAGGACCUUAGUAAUGAUUGAUAGGGAUAGUUGGGGGUGCUAGUAUUCAGCGGCCAGAGGUGAAAUUCUUGGAUUCGCUGAAGACUAACUUAUGCGAAAGCAUU